GGAGGGGGGCAGGGGCUGCCCUUGAAUUUGAGUCGUAAGCCGUAAGCCCCUGGGGGCGCAUGCGUGGGGCGCCCGGCGAAAGUCUCAGCACUUUACUCACCGCAAUUAAAAUGACGCUCAGUUGUAACGACACCGUCUCGCUCGCCACGCUGUCCCUGCGUCGCGCUCGCGUCCGCGCAGCCACACGGAAAUUCUCACGUGAAAAUUUCCGUGAAAUUUUUCGAAAUUUUCACACGGAAUAUUUCCCGCGCGUAUUUUGUUUUUACAUUUUUCGAAAAUACCCACUGCGAGGUUAGUUUUGUGUGGCGUGAAGUUGGUGUUAUAAUUACUAUGGAUGCGUUUAACGGAAAAACAGGAUCCUAAAAUUGGAAUUUCAGUUAUUUGAUGGUAAGAUUUGUCUGUGUGCUUUUACUUCUAGGCGACGAUUUUGUUUUUCAUUCAUUUGUGAACGUUCACGGGGAAAGGGAUCUAAGUCUACGGUUGUAAAAUUAUUAGUGGGACGAUUUCGAUCGAGUCGGAUAUCAAAAUCUGAUUUCAAUAUUUUCAUCGAAAACUCUUUCAAAAGUUAUAUAGAAUAAAUUGCUAACGAUUUAGUUCAUUCCAGUGCCAAUACAGGACGUAAAAUCGCUUAUAAGGCAGCAUUUUUGAACCAUGAACUCGGUAAAGCUUAAAAUUUGAAAAAGCUUCUUCUGUGAACUACAGCUUUUGAACUGCAAACCUUAAAAAACCGUAACUCUGGUUAAGUUUAACAUUCGUGGCGUUUUUGGUCCUAAAAUUUUCCUUUAAAAAAUCCGCUAUGCUCUGGUAUCAAUAGCAAAUUCUUAAUUUUUAUUGACCAAAGUUCCUCUCCCUGUGGACGUAGUGACACUCAUGUGGCAUCGUAUGAAAGUAUAAAAUGCAUUUUAAUGAAGAUUUCUUCGAUGGCUGAAAGUUGUCGGAUUUUAUUUGUGAAGAUAAACGAUCAUCUGUGUGAAUUGAACAAUCAGGUUUGUUCGAUUCUUAAACUGGACGUGGUGCCAAUCGAUUGGUGCGAGCCCAGCAUGGUCAUUAAUAUUUUUGGUAUUUUUUAGUUUUAAAAGGUAAUACAGCAGAUGGCAAAUUCUUUUACUUUUAAAUGUAUUUUUAUCCGAUUUUUAGGAUCAAAAUAUGAAAAACUAUGAAGUAAUAACAUGUUGGAAUGUAAAGUCUCCAUUAUCAAGAGUCCAUUAUUCAUGAGUCCCGAUUUGAUUCAAGUCAAUUAGGGGAUUUUAUCGGACUAAUUUUGUGGGCGUCAAAGACCACUUCUACAUAAAAUUUUCCCCUAGAUAUAAUUCCCCUGUACGAUUCCUUUUUGAAUACCAACGAUUGAAUAGAGCUAUUGAACCGGACUCUAAAAAGUAUUUACAGACUGAACAAGGCAUUUAUUUUAGAAAAUGAAGAUUAGAUACAAAAUCAAUAGGCGACCGGAUUUUGCUUUAAUAGUACCCCUAAAAAUGCAGCAAAUCAAACUUCAUAGUGAUCUGAUCAAGUAGGUAUUGUAUUUCCAUUCUCCGUGCAGGUAUCUCCUAAAUGAAAGAACUUGGACUGGUGAGAGCUUUGAGAGGAAUCGAAGAAAAGAAGAAAAAAGAGGAAAGAAGAAAGAAGAAAGAGGAUUUCAUUUUUACAAAAAGAUGACAGUACUUGCGACCUGAAGCUUUUUCAGAGCUGUAAAGGCGUUUUCAAAGAAUUUCCUUUGAAUUACAAAUAGACCAAUAGGCAUACAGAGUUACAGAUUAUGAAUCAUACAACAUGUUCCCUCGUCAGAACUGUCAACUAGGCAAAUUUCACAUUCAAAACAUUUUUUCUCGACUUUUAAAUUUUUCACAUAAGACAUUAUGCACCUAGUUGAUUUUAAAAUAACUCCUACUUCAUAUUUUUUAAACUAUGACUUGGUUACCAUUCUUUUUUAAUUCAAUUCACCUCAGUGGCUCAUUUAAAGAUGACAGAACAUUGAUACCAUCAUUUCUUUUCUCUUAGCAUGCUGUGUUUUGAAUCAAAUUCAGCUGAGAGACUCUUCCGUUAGCUCAGUUCCAUCGUUGAAGACAAAAUUGAAAAUACUGGACGUUUUGGACGCAUUAUAUACGCCCAUUUGCACCUUUAAAAGGAAAGUCUUCCCGAAAGAGUCGUAAUAUAAAGGGGUAAAAGCUUACGAGAAAGAAGCUAGCUUGUACGCUAGAGUGCGCACAUUUCCAAUAUAAAGCGUCGUGCUUUUCAAACAAAGUGAGAUCUUAAACUAAGUUUAUUAGAAAAAGACCUGCAUCUCCAAAAAAAGUGAGUUGUGAGUGGAUUUUAGCUCGACAAAUAACUUACUUUCGCUUAACAAAAAAUCGCAGUCCAUGGUAAACAUUAAUAUCGGAAGCAUGUACUUCAAUUUUUAUUGUUUACAUCGAUUCUUAUGAAAAAAGCAUGCUUUGAAUCCUUUUUCCUCCGGUCUAAGGAAAUAGUACUCAGAACGAGAUUCAGGGUAGGGCGAGCCGUGCGGUUGCACAGGGCAAAAAGAGGACGCCGCGCCGGAGGCGCCCUUUUAUCAGCAGGAAACACCAGAGAGCACUAAGGGCUUACAUGUUCCUUCUUUACUCUAUAUGAAUGCACUAAAAUGUUUAUGUUAUUGUUGCUAUUUCAUCUCACUGAGAAACAGCCUUUAUGGAGCCCCUCCCUCCUGUUUUCCUCUCCCAUAAAGGAUGCUUCUCCUUGGAAAUAAUACAAUUAGGGAGUAUGAUCCAACGCGGUUAUCGGUCAUAAUCCUUUGCUUUGAUCUCUGAGCUGGAAAGUAUAACUGACUGAAAAUAGCUUGAAAUAUCAAUACAAGUUUUUAACUUUUCUGAAAGAAAAUCCUGAUUCUAAAGAUGGCCAAAGACAGGAAAGGGGAAAUGCAUUUUUUUUAAAACAAUUUAUACUAUAUUUAUAUUUUUCCUAUCCAGACCUUUACUGAAAAUCUUUUGAUGGUGGGUCAUCGGACACAGGUAGUUCAAUGAUUCUGAACGCACCUGAAACAAUCCUUGAACAAUUGAAUUUUCAAGUGAUAAGUGUGAAACUGGAGUGUGGAAUAAUGCCUGUAACGUCUGCACAGAGUGACGAUGAUUUUAACUUUUUAUGGUGAGGGCUUUUAACAUCCGAGAAAUCCAAACAAUGAAGAAAUAAGCGAGAUGAUUCAAUUCAAUGAUGAGUAAAUUAAAUGAUUCAAGUCAAUGGUGAAUCAACUCAAGCGAUGAUUCACGUGCUAUUGUAAAAUGAUUGCAAUAUUUGACUCUCUUGCAAAAGUUGUAUCUUUGUAGCCAUGAACAUCUUCUUUGAAUGUACGCGGAGGUAAAAGAGUACAGGAGGCGAGGUUGGAUUCUCAGAUCUUGCAUUUGACUGCGAAGUAAAUAGCAACCAUGGAAUCGUCGUCGGAAACUUCAUGCUUCGGGGCGAAUCUUAGAAUUCGUAACUCUGAAAAUCGCAUAUUUUUGCUUGCUAUUCUUUCUUCCCCGCAACGUACGCGUAGCAGGUCUGCACCUUCUUAAAAAAAUACUUAAUAAUCCGUUCGACCAUUCUCUUUCCCUUUAGGGACGUUCAGAGACAAAUUUUUGAUAAAAAAUUCUCACCCCGCGCGAAUAUUCAUCUUAAAAUUUCGAAAAAUUUGCGCUAAGCCAAAUUCAGAAUCAUGAGAAAAAACUCCGGUUGCAGGUACUGAAUUUUUAUUCAUAAUCGACAUUCAUAAUUUUUCAUAAUUUCAUAAAUGACCAAAAACUUCGGUUAUCUGAUCUGGAAUACCUUGGUGUUCAAUAUAAAUCGAACUUUUUUCGCCCUUAUCGCAGUCCUGGACUCUCACUUUCUCUCUCCAUAACUUACCCGUGACGCCAGCUCAAACGACCACCCCUACACUACAGUGCUGAGGAAGAACGCCGUAUGGACAUUCGAGAGUUGCCAAAUUUCCGUCGAUAAAAUGUUUAUUUUUUAGGGAAGUUAAGCAUAUUUUUCCUCUAUUUUUUCAGAAUCUUUAUGUGAAAUUGCGAACUAAAUUAUCUGAAACACUGGAUGGAAAAUAUUCAUAAGUUCGCCAGGAAAUUCGCGUUUCAUCAAAGGACAUUUGGCAACGCCUGAAGGUUCAUACGGCGUUCUUCCGUAGCACGGCAGUACAGCAGUACGUGCUUUCGGAACGGCCCUUUCAAUUCACGCGUUACGAUUGAGCUAUGUGCGGCGAUUCAAGAAUCGGACCUACCACCGAGCAGAGAUGAUCCUGCGUCGAGCUCCGACAAAACAAACAACACGUCCACGGGCCGCGAUGUCAGCAAGUCGAUUGUUCAAUCCUUUUCCUGGAUCGAUAAAUAAUACAGCUAAGAUAGGGGCAUAUCGAUCAAGUUCAUUCGAACAAAUCCAUGAUCGAUCCGCAGGUCCCGAUAAACCGGUGGCGAGGAAAGCUCGUCAUCGUUCACCGGUCGCAACUUAAAAUAACAGCCCGCCCGUUUGUCAUCAUCGAAAUAUUAACCCUGACUUCUGAAGCCACCGUCGUAAAUUAAAUAUUUAUCUUAAUACGCUUCACUUGAGAUUUUGCAAGCGAGA
rnacentral:lncRNA from 1 species